GUUAUUUGAUAAGAAAACAUUCACAGUGGUGAAGGAAGUGGAGUUCCUUGAAAGGAGAGGAGGUUGAGAUCCAUUCUAGGAGAAGAGGCUACAAAGGUGAAACAAACCAUCUGGUGCACAAGGCAGUGUGCACCAAAUAAUCUCACGGGCCUAGCCAACGGCCCUAGGCAGGAGCCGUUGGCUAGCCCCAUGAGUAGGCGGCCCCAGGGCACGACCCUUGGUGAAGGCCGUGACCCUGAGCCGUGGAAGGGCGGAGCUAGAAGGUGGGCCAUCCCAAGCCCCGCCGAGAGCUCCGCCAAGCAGAAGAUGUGCAGUGGUCGAGCCCUUUUGGCUCAGCAACGUGUUGUUUCGGACAAGGACUCGCGGGCCCUUAAGGCUCGGACACUCGGGGCUAUCAUGACGCACAAAUGGAUUUUGAUUUCAUUGAAUUUGGAGUAGAAAUGAGCUUUUUGUGUUAGAAUUUGUGAAGAUGAAUGCUACAGUUUUUGUCUGAGAGUAUUUAUAGUAAAUGAAAAUGUUAAGUGUUGGCUCUUGGCUAUUUGUUUUAGAAGCAUGACAAUUAUAUGGUUGUUAGAUACUGAAAGAUGAUCAAUA